CCUACGGGAGGCAGCAGUGAGGAAUAGUGGUCAAUGGACGAGAGUCUGAACCAGCCAAGUAGCGUGAAGGAUGACUGCCCUAUGGGUUGUAAACUUCUUUUAUAUGGGAAUAAAAUGUUCCACGUGUGGGAUGUUGUAUGUAACAUAUGAAUAAGGAUCGGCUAACUCCGUGCCAGCAGCCGCGGUAAUACGGAGCCACCGUGCGUUAUCCGGAUGGAUGGGGGUUAACGGGAGCGUAGGUGGAUUCUUACGUGAGUUGUGACAGUUUGCGGCGCAACCGUAAAAUUGCAGUUGAAACUGGCAGUCUUGAGUACAGUAGAGGUGGGCGGAAUUCGUGGUGUAGCCGU
rnacentral:rRNA from 1 species